GGCGCUAUAGUGUAGUGGCUAUCACUCGGGAUUUUGAUAUGUUUCUUAGAAUAUUCAAUGGAUCUUUCCCGUAACCCAGGUUCGAACCCUGGUAGUGCCU